GACAGAGGGUGCAAACGUUGUUCGGAAUUACUGGGCGUAAAGCGUGUGUAGGUGGCUGCGUAAGUCGGAUGUGAAAGCCCUGGGCUCAACUCAGGAAGUGCACUCGAUACUGCGUAGCUCGAGUACCGGAGAGGUUGGUAGAAUUCUCGGUGUAGAGGUGAAAUUCGUAGAUAUCGAGAGGAAUACCUGUGGCGAAGGCGGCCAACUGGACGAAGUACUGACACUGAGACACGAAAGCGUGGGGAGCAAACAGG
rnacentral:rRNA from 1 species